UGCAAGUCGAACGAUGAAGCCCUUCGGGGUGGAUUAGUGGCGAACGGGUGAGUAACACGUGGGCAAUCUGCCCUUCACUCUGGGACAAGCCCUGGAAACGGGGUCUAAUACCGGAUAACACUCUGUCCCGCAUGGGACGGGGUUAAAAGCUCCGGCGGUGAAGGAUGAGCCCGCGGCCUAUCAGCUUGUUGGUGGGGUGAUGGCCUACCAAGGCGACGACGGGUAGCCGGCCUGAGAGGGCGACCGGCCACACUGGGACUGAGACACGGCCCAGACUCCUACGGGAGGCAGCAGUGGGGAAUAUUGCACAAUGGGCGAAAGCCUGAUGCAGCGACGCCGCGUGAGGGAUGACGGCCUUCGGGUUGUAAACCUCUUUCAGCAGGGAAGAAGCGAAAGUGACGGUACCUGCAGAAGAAGCGCCGGCUAACUACGUGCCAGCAGCCGCGGUAAUACGUAGGGCGCAAGCGUUGUCCGGAAUUAUUGGGCGUAAAGAGCUCGUAGGCGGCUUGUCACGUCGGAUGUGAAAGCCCGGGGCUUAACCCCGGGUCUGCAUUCGAUACGGGCUAGCUAGAGUGUGGUAGGGGAGAUCGGAAUUCCUGGUGUAGCGGUGAAAUGCGCAGAUAUCAGGAGGAACACCGGUGGCGAAGGCGGAUCUCUGGGCCAUUACUGACGCUGAGGAGCGAAAGCGUGGGGAGCGAACAGGAUUAGAUACCCUGG
rnacentral:rRNA from 1 species